rnacentral:rRNA from 1 species
GCGCAGCAGGCGCGAAUCCUUCGCAAUGCGGGAAACCGCGACGAGGGGACUCCCAGUGCCUACGCUCAGCGUAGGCUGUUCCCGAGCCUAGAAAGCUCGGGGAGUAAGGGCUGGGUAAGACGGGUGCCAGCCGCCGCGGUAAUACCCGCAGCCCGAGUGGUGGCCACUAUUAUUGGGCCUAAAGCGUCCGUAGCCGGCCCGGUAAAUGCCUGGGUAAAUCGUGAGGCCUAACCUCACGAAUUCCGGGUAGACUGCCGGGCUAGGGACCGGAGGAGGGAGAGGGGUACUCCAGGGGUAGGGGUGAAAUCCUGUAAUCCCUGGAGGACCACCGGUGGCGAAGGCGCUCUCCUAGGACGGGUCCGACGGUGAGGGACGAAAGCCAGGGGAGCGAACCGGAUUAGAUA